rnacentral:rRNA from 1 species
UACGAAGGGUGCAAGCGUUACUCGGAAUUACUGGGCGUAAAGCGUGCGUAGGUGGUGAGUUAAGUCUGUCGUGAAAGCCCCGGGCUCAACCUGGGAAUGGCGAUGGAUACUGGCUCGCUAGAGUGCGGUAGAGGAGAGUGGAAUUCCCGGUGUAGCGGUGAAAUGCGCAGAUAUCGGGAAGAACACCCGUGGCGAAGGCGGCUCUCUGGAACGCAACUGACGCUGAGACGCGAAAGCGUGGGGAGCAAACAGG